rnacentral:misc_RNA from 1 species
UCGCCCUGCACUACUACGGGAUCCCAACGUUUGCUUUCGAUUGCGGCCCACGAGUAGCAAGGAUAUCCAGUGUGCUGCUCCACGUUUGCCAUCCUCCCAACGUCCUUCCACGGGAGAUGGCCUUGAGCACCACGCGUACCGUGGCUGGGCGCGUCGGCUCCAUUGCAUUCUACCACCCAUGGCGUCCUGCUGGCCGACGGGACUUGGUUUGGAGCCCAGCUACUAUACUGAAUCUUGACCUCUGCUUUCGGUUGCGGCCCACGAGUAGGAUGUCCAUCGUGCUGCUCCACGUUUACCAUCCUCCCAACGUCCCCAUACAGGAGAUGGCCUUGAGCACCACUUGUACCGUGGCCGACCGCGCUCCAUCGUCGGUGUGCGGUCUUGCUGGCAGACGAAGACUGCUGAUCGCCCUGCACCACUAUGCGUGAUCCCAACGUCUGCUUUCGAUUGCGGCCUACGAGCAGGAAGGACAUCAGUGUGCCGCUCCUUGCCAUCCUCCCAAUGUCCCACAGGCGAUGGCCUUGGGCACCACUCGCACCGUGGCAGACCGUGUUUGUUACAUUGCAUUCCCUCACCGAUUGCGUCCUGCAGGCAGACGGGACUUGGUCCUACUACUGAUGUUCGUUUUCGAUGGCGGUGCACCAGGACAUUCCAGACAGUGUUUCCAAAAGAUGAGAUCGCAUUGAGCAGCAAUCGUCCCACGGCAGCUCACCUGAGCACAUCGGCCCGCAACUGUGGACAUCGAAGUCUGAGCGUGGCCACAAACCGAGGACCUUCGGAGCAACCCCUCCUCACAGCGAGCGUCUUUCUUCGCGACGAGCUUAAAUGCUCAACAAGUAAAAUGCCAGAUGGUCCCCAAGCUGGUGAGGGUGGCGCACGCCUUAGCGAAGUUACCUGUUCAGUUCCACCAGUUACUGCUCGCUAGGAUUGUAUAGCAACAUUUGAAAAUUACGGAAAGUUAUUUGUUGCUUAACUGUAAGCCCGAGAGUUUCGUGGGCAUGGCUGCGACCACAUGGGUCUCCCCCGUGCCGGAAUCGAAGAGGACGGGCCACCGUGUUCGGGGUGGCGGCGUGUGUAGCUUCAGGCUUAGCGGACACACAGUUUAGCUCACACUAGGCAGGCUAGCUGAUAGCGUCCUCUUUUCGACUGCGGCAAGGACAUGGACCCGUUCCGAAUUGCACUGCGACCCGACCACUAUUUCGUGACAAGGUAGCCCGGGCGCGUCAGUGCUAUCGAGCGAAAUGUGGAUUCGGGGAGCACUCGGAAUUACCUCGCCAGCUUUUAGCUACUAAUCCUGCUUAAUGCAGCCCUCGACGCCGGACGUCGUCUGCUGUCCACAUCGGAGCUCGGCCGGGCAGCAGCCACAAGGAUCACUCGUACAGCGGUCUACCGUGUUCCGUUGUCGGUAUGGUCUUGCUGGCAGGCGAGACCUUGGUCAUCGCCCUGCACUACUACGGGAUCCCAACGUUUGCUUUCGAUUGCGGCCCACGAGUAGCAAGGAUAUCCAGUGUGCUGCUCCACGUUUGCCAUCCUCCCAACGUCCUUCCACGGGAGAUGGCCUUGAGCACCACGCGUACCGUGGCUGGGCGCGUCGGCUCCAUUGCAUUCUACCACCCAUGGCGUCCUGCUGGCCGACGGGACUUGGUUUGGAGCCCAGCUACUAUACUGAAUCUUGACCUCUGCUUUCGGUUGCGGCCCACGAGUAGGAUGUCCAUCGUGCUGCUCCACGUUUGCCAUCCUCCCAACGUCCCCAUACAGGAGAUGGCCUUGAGCACCACUUGUACCGUGGCCGACCGCGCUCCAUCGUCGGUGUGCGGUCUUGCUGGCAGACGAAGACUGCUCAUCAUCCUGCACCACUACGUGAUCCCAACGCCUACUGUUGAUUGCUGCCUACGAGUAGGAAGGACAUCAGUGUGCCGCUCCUUGCCAUCCUCCCAACGUCCUCCCCCAGGAUAUGGCCUUGAGCACCACUCGCACCGUGGCAGACCGUGUUCGUUACAUUGCAUUCCCUCACCGAUAGUGUCCUGCAGGCAGACGGAACUUGCUCCUACUACUGAUGUUCGUUUUCGAUGGCGGUGCACGAGGACAAUCUAGGCAGUGUUUCCAAAAGAUGAGAUCGCAUUGAGCGGCAAUCGUCCCAUGGCUGUCCACCUGAGCAUAUUGGCCGACAACUGUGGACAUCGAAGUCUGAGCGUGACCACAAACCGAGGACCUGCAAAGCAACCCCUUGUCACAGCGAGCUUCUUUCUGCGCGACGAGCUUAAAUGCUCAUCAAGUAAGAUAGAUGCCAGAUGUUCUCCAAGCUGGCGAGGAUAGCGCAUGCUUUUGAGAAGUUGUCAGUUGAGUGUAGCUGUAUUCGAAAAUUACGUAAGUUUAGUUUAGGUGAUUAAUUGUAAGCCCGAAGUUUGUGGGCACUGCUGCGGCCACAUCGGGUCUUCUCCGUGACGGAAUCGAAGAGGACGGACCACAUCCGCGGUGGCGGCGGGUGUAGCUUCAGGCUUAGCGAAUUGCGGGUAGGCUUAGCUGGCACGCGGCAGGCUAUAGCUGACAGCCGUCCUCUUUCGAUUGCGCCAGGGACAUUAACCCGUUUGUUUGGCAGUGAUUAAGCCGUUCUGCAUGUCCUUGCGACCCGACCACUAUUUCGUGACAAGGUAGCAUCGGGCGCGUCAGUGCUAUCGAUCGAAAUGUGGAUUCGUGGAAGCAAACGACAUCCGGAAUCGCCUCGCCAGCUUUAGCUGCCGCGGCAUCGCACGUCGCCUUGGGUCUCCAGCGGAGCUCGGCCCUGCAGUAGCUAAUGUGAGUGGUCCACUUCGUUGCAAUUGCAGCUGUUCGUUUUUGGCGUUUAUGCGCCUCCCUUCGUUGCAGAGGAUGACCUUGAGACCAUGCUGGCUUCUUCGCAUUCCCUCGCCGGUGGUCUUGAUGGUGGAAGAUGCUUUGUUCCUCGCCCGGCACUACUCCUGGCAAGUACCUUGAACACUCGAAUCGUACUAUGGCUGUCUUCUCGAGGGUUUAAUAAGCCCCCCGUG